rnacentral:rRNA from 1 species
AUUGAACGCUGGCGGCAUGCCUUACACAUGCAAGUCGAGCGGGACCUUCGGGUCUAGCGGCGGACGGGUGAGUAUCGCGUGGGAACGUGCCCUUCUCUACGGAAUAGCCUCGGGAAACUGAGAGUAAUACCGUAUACGCCCUUUGGGGGAAAGAUUUAUCGGAGAAGGAUCGGCCCGCGUUGGAUUAGGUAGUUGGUGGGGUAAUGGCCUACCAAGCCGACGAUCCAUAGCUGGUUGGAGAGGAUGAUCAGCCACACUGGGACUGAGACACGGGCCAGACUCCUACGGGAGGCAGCAGUGGGGAAUCUUAGACAAUGGGGGCAACGCUGAUCUAGCCAUGUCGCGUGAGUGAUGAAGGCCUUAGGGUUGUAAAGCUCUUUCAGCUGGGAAGAUAAUGACGGUACCAGCAGAAGAAGUCCCGGCUAACUCCGUGCCAGCAGCCGCGGUAA